GUGUGGGAGACUUGCCUGUCAAAAGUGUAUCAGAGGCUUCAAAUGCUCGAGACGAAGGGCUUACCAUUCUUGAUGGUUGUCCCAAAGAAUCGGGUGACAAAUGUGUGUACAAUUAUAGUGAUAAGCCUCCAGGUUCCAAUUCAGACUUUCAAAUGCUAUCCUCCGCAUUAACUGUCAAUCCGGCUUUCCCUGAAAUGCGUGGUGGAGUUAUUUGCUGCGUAU
rnacentral:misc_RNA from 1 species